CCUGAACGCUGGCGGCGUGGCUAAGACAUGCAAGUCGCACGGGCCUAGCAAUAGGUCAGUGGCGGACGGGUGAGUAAUGUAUCGCUAACGUACCCUGGACUCUGGGAUAGCUAAUCGAAAGGUUAGGUAAUACCAGAUGAGACCACAAGCCGGCAUCGGCUGGUGCUCAAAGGUCCGCCGGUCUGGGAGCGGGCGAUAUCGUAUCAGCUAGUUGGUGAGGUAACGGCGCACCAAGGCGAUGACGCGUAACUGGUCUGAGAGGACGGCCAGUCACAUCGGGACUGAGACACUGCCCGGACUCCUACGGGGGGCUGCAGUAACGAAUCUUCCCCAAUGCACGAAAGUGUGAGGGAGCGACGCCGCGUGUAGGACGAAGUCCUC
rnacentral:rRNA from 1 species